ACAAACUCGAAUUUCGUGUUCUCUGAGCUCUCAAAUGAACGGUACUUGCGAAUCCACUCACAGCCACCUUGUUAAAUUUUUUAAUCGAUCUGAAAAUGAAAAUUGAAAACUGAAAUUGAAUUCAAAUGUGGAGGAUGAAGCGGCAAAGAUUUCGGCCGAAGAGGAAACGCAAUUGACCAACAUACGCACUUUGGAAAACGACAUCCACUUCGACUUUGGAUCUUAUUCAGCAAGAGAGAGUUGGGUUAUCUGCCAAACUUUCAGAGAAGAGAGCCUACUAUAGCAAGGUUGCAGAGGACAUGAAUGCCAAAUUACAGAAGCAACAGGUCACCGGAAAGGCUGUUGGGCAAAAAAGUAAAGUUGAAGGCAUGGC